AUACUUACCUGGACGGGGUCAAUGGGUGAUCAAGAAAGCCCAUGGCCUAGGUUGGUGACCUCCAUUGCACUUUGGAGGGGUGCCCACCUAACAUCUCCCUAAGUGGGAGAGUGUACGUCAUAAUUUGUGGUAAUGGGGGUACGCGUUCGCGCGGCCCCUAC
rnacentral:snRNA from 1 species